UGGGAAUCUUCGGCAAUGGACGAAAGUCUGACCGAGCAACGCCGCGUGAGUGAAGAAGGUUUUCGGAUCGUAAAACUCUGUUGUUAGAGAAGAACAAGGACGUUAGUAACUGAACGUCCCCUGACGGUAUCUAACCAGAAAGCCACGGCUAACUACGUGCCAGCAGCCGCGGUAAUACGUAGGUGGCAAGCGUUGUCCGGAUUUAUUGGGCGUAAAGCGAGCGCAGGCGGUUUCUUAAGUCUGAUGUGAAAGCCCCCGGCUCAACCGGGGAGGGUCAUUGGAAACUGGGAGACUUGAGUGCAGAAGAGGAGAGUGGAAUUCCAUGUGUAGCGGUGAAAUGCGUAGAUAUAUGGAGGAACACCAGUGGCGAAGGCGGCUCUCUGGUCUGUAACUGACGCUGAGGCUCGAAAGCGUGGGGAGCAAACAGGAUUAGAUACCCUGGUAGUCCACGCCGUAAACGAUGAGUGCUAAGUGUUGGAGGGUUUCCGCCCUUCAGUGCUGCAGCAAACGCAUUAAGCACUCCGCCUGGGGAGUACGACCGCAAGGU
rnacentral:rRNA from 1 species